UACGGAGGGUGCAAGCGUUAUCCGGAUUCACUGGGCUUAAAGGGUGCGUAGGAGGGCAGGUAAGUCAGUGGUGAAAUCUCCGAGCUUAACUUGGAAACUGCCGUUGAUACUAUCUGCCUUGAAUAUUGUGGAGGUGAGCGGAAUAUGUCAUGUAGCGGUGAAAUGCUUAGAUAUGACAUAGAACACCAAUUGCGAAGGCAGCUCGCUACACAUAUAUUGACUCUGAGGCACGAAAGCGUGGGGAUCAAACAGG
rnacentral:rRNA from 1 species